rnacentral:rRNA from 1 species
AUAUUAAAGUUGCUGCAGUUAAAAAGCUCGUAGUUGAAUUUCGGGAUCAAUAUAUCGGUCGUGCCUUUGGUACGUACUGGUAUCAUUGAUUUCUCCUUUCUGACGAGUCAUGAUGUCAUUAAUUUGGUGUUAUGAGGAGUUAGGACUGUUACUUUGAAAAAAUUAGAGUGUUUAAAGCAGGCAUUAGCUUGAAUACAUUAGCAUGGAAUAAUGAAAUAGGACGUUUGACCCUAUUUUGUUGGUUUUUAGGAUCGACGUAAUGAUUAAUAGGGAUAGUUGGGGGCAUUAGUAUUCAAUUGUCAGAGGUGAAAUUCUUGGAUUUAUUGAAGACUAACUACUGCGAAAGCAUUUGCCAAGGAUGUUUUCAUUAAUCAAGAACGAAAGUUAGGGGAUCGAAGACGAUCAGAUACCGUCGUAGUCUUAACCAUAAACUAUGCCGACUAGGGAUCGGAUGAUGUUAAUUUUAUAAUGACUCAUUC